AACGGUCUAUACCUGCGGUACCUGCGGAGGGAUCAUUAUCAAUUUACAGCGGACUUCGGUCCUGUCUGCACCCUUGUCUUUUGCGUACUAUAUGUUUCCUCGGUGGGCUUGCCUGCCGAUAGGACACUUAUAAACUCUUUUGUUAUUGCAAUCAGCGUCAGAAAACUAUAAUAGUUACAACUUUUAGCAACGGAUCUCU
rnacentral:misc_RNA from 1 species